GCGCAUUAUACAUGGAUCCAUCCGGAUAUGAUACGGAGGCCGCCAUUACAGAUGCGCUUUCUUCUCUGCUGUUCACUUCAAACACGCUCCAUACGAACACAAUGCUCUCGUAUCAGACGCUUGCUCGAUCACCUGCUUGUUUGCUGUCACAAUGUACCCUACACAAAUCCGAAACAUUUCUUCGCUAUUGAGGUUGCUAGCGCAUGCGCAGUGAUACUGACCGGCAGAAUAACAUCCGGUUGUUCCCAAAGAUGAUCUUUUUUCUGAAAUAAUUUUACGUUUACGGACUUAAGUAGGAGUCAAAAUUUGGGUGCGUAUUAUACAUGGGUACAGGCUUUUUUCCAGCAUCAACAUGCCAUUUUUAGGGUGCGUAUUAUACAUGGGGGCGCAUUAUACAUGGAAAAAAACGGUAUUUUCAGGAGACGAAUAACCUUCGAGGCAGACACUUUUCUGCUCCGAAAGCUCCACAGUUGCUUCAUGAAACGGAGCUAAGAUUGGCAGACACCCAGUGAUAUGUGCAUAGUCUUCUGAUGUUUGGACGGGGAUACCUCUGUCCAAACGGAGUGGUUGUUUCCAGCUGUGACAUCUGCUUUGAGCAGGAAUGACUGGGCAGCAGUGAGAAGUAGGUGCUUUUCCCAUUGUACCCUGCUGUCAUCAUUGAGCAAGUAAUUGCUGCCUCCCCUCCUUUCUCUGAAGCCUUGCAGGGAUGAGUGAGCUCACCUGUCUGUGCAAUGCAGCCACUCAAGUUUACAGCUUCCGUGCCUGCGGCGUGGACCACCAGAGCAUGUUGGAGCAUGCCCACUGAAACUGCACAUCACACGCACCUUAUAAACCAAUAAGACCCUGAAGCAACGGAACUGAAGCAAACAAUUGCCACGCACUUAGAUGAGCUUGCAAAGUCUCUCGACGGAUAUUUCCCUACAAUAGAGUCAUAUCCAGCAUGGGUGAGACAGCCGUUCACGUUUGCUGUUGAAACAGCAGAUGUCAAUGAUGAAUUCCUCGACGAAAUUAUUGAAAUUCAGCAGAGCCAGGUUCAACAGCAACUCUUCAGAACAACAACGCUCUCAACGUUUUGGUCUCGACAAAUGAACAAGUAUCCAUUUAUUGCUAAGAAAGCCUUGGAUGUUUUUAUACCAUUUGUUACAACAUAUCUUUGUGAGCAAUCCUUUUCGAGGAUGCUGGACAUAAAAACGAAGAAAAGGAACAGACUUUGCUGUGAAAAUGACAUGAGAGUGGCACUUGCCAAGGUGAAGCCACGCAUAUCUGAACUGAUCUCUCAAAGGCAACAGCAAAAGAGACAUUGAUUUCCAGGUAUGUAAUUUGGUGUGAGUUUGUAUGUCAUUCCCUCCCCCCCCGACUAAAGAGUGGUUUGGUGAAUGCGCAUAUGAAACAGAUGGGGUUCGGUACCUCCAAAAAGGUUAAGAACCACUGAGCUACAGGGAACUGCCCCAUAACAUUAACCACAACAGCAACGAAUUCAAGCCUUUCCACCCAUAUCAAAUGCAUUCAUUCCUUAUGUGCACCACCAGCACAUCUAAUGCAGUGGCUACACCUGACCUAGGGAAGUACCUGAUGUGUCACGAGCUGGUGAGUUCAGGCUUGCUGAAGUUUGAUGACAGACCAGCGAACUAUUGGGCCUGGAAAACAUCUUUUCUCAGCUCAACUAAUGACUUAAGGCUCUCCGCUAGGGAGGAACUCGAUCUCCUAUGCAAAUGGCUCGGGCCAUUGUAUUCUGAGGAAGCUAAAAGGAUCAGAGCAGUACACAUCCACAAUCCACCUUCUGGCAUCAGGAUGCUGUAGCAGAGACUGGAAGACGUUUACGCCUCUCCAGAAAUGAUUGAAAACGCUCUUCUGAGAAAAGUUGAAGAUUUCCCUAAAAUAUCUGUCAAAGACAAUCACAAACUUAGAGAACUCGGAGACAUCCUCAUGGAGCUUGAAGCAGCUAAGACAGACUUCACUUCAUGUGUAGUCAGCCCAAUCGUCCAGAAACUCCCGCACACGCUACAAGAAAAGUGGAUCACUGUUGAAUCACGCUACAAAGAGCAACACAGGAUUCCAUACCCACCAUUCUCAGUCUUCGUAAACUUCAUCUGUGACCAAGCUAAAAUACGCAACGACCCCAGCUUCGCCAGCAUAAUAGGCUCAUGGGGCGUGACCUAGACAGACAAAAGUAGCCUAGUCAGCAACCCAGUGAGAACCUCAGUUGCUGUGAGAAAGACUGAAGUCUCAGACGACAGCAAUGCCAGUGGCAGCACCACAGCAACCGAACCUGAUGGUAAUCCUGACAGAACACUGCUCGCUGCAUAACAAGCCACAUCCACUAAGAAAGUGCCACGGCUUCAGAAACAAAACACUGGAAGAGAGAAAGGCAUAUCUGAAGGAGAGAAACAUGUCUCAAAUGCUGUGCGUCAUGCAAUCAUCUGGCCAAAGACUGUGCCAUGCCUCUGCAGUGCAAGGAGUGUAACAGCGACAAACACCCCUCAGCAAUGCACCCAGGGCCUGCCCCGUGGAAAACUGAAGUCCAACGGACUGGCACAGACCAUGGCGGGGAGCAGCGUCAGGAAGUGGAGGCUGCCCCAUCAGUGAAUCCCAAAUGCACCAAGGGCAAAGAGACAGAGCGCUGAAAACCCAUGUAGUUCUCGAUGAACAAAGCAACAAGUCACUGGGCAGAACAGAGUUCUUCGAACACUUCAACAUUAAAGAUGAAGGAUCAACAUACACUCUAAAGACCUGCUCAGGGGUGUACGAGACUUCAGGGCGACGCGCCAACAACUUCAUUGUGGAGUCGCUAGAUGGAAACACACAAUUUCCACUACCUACCUUGACUGAAUGUGACAUGCUGCCAGACGACAGGACAGAAAUUCCAUCGCCCGAGGUAGCCA